AUCCUACGGGGCGCAGCAGUGGGGGAUAUUGCACAAUGGGGGGAACCCUGAUGCAGCGACGCCGCGUGGGUGAAGAAGCGCCUCGGUACGUAAAGCUCUAUCAGCAGGGAAGAAAAAAAGUCCUUUGGACUUUGGACGGUACCUGACCAAGAAGCCCCGGCUAACUACGUGCCAGCAGCCGCGGUAAUACGUAGGGGGCAAGCGUUAUCCGGAUUUACUGGGUGUAAAGGGAGCGUAGACGGCAGCGCAAGUCUGGAGUGAAAUGCCAGGGCCCAACCCCGGAACUGCUUUGGAAACUGUGCAGC
rnacentral:rRNA from 1 species